UACGAAGGGGGCUAGCGUUGUUCGGAAUCACUGGGCGUAAAGCGCACGUAGGCGGAUCUUUAAGUCAGGGGUGAAAUCCUGGAGCUCAACUCCAGAACUGCCUUUGAUACUGGCGAUCUCGAGUCCGGGAGAGGUGAGUGGAACUGCGAGUGUAGAGGUGAAAUUCGUAGAUAUUCGCAAGAACACCAGUGGCGAAGGCGGCUCACUGGCCCGGUACUGACGCUGAGGUACGAAAGCGUGGGGAGCAAACAGG
rnacentral:rRNA from 1 species